AUGGUUGGUAAUGGUAGAAGUAUAAGGAUAUGGAGAGAUAAUUGGAUCCCAAUACCUUAUUCAUACAAGCCAAUCACACUUCAAGGGAGGUGUCGUAUCCGUUUUGUCUCUGAUGUGUUGAAUGAGAAUGGUUCUUGGAACGUUAACCUCCUAUCAGAGUAUUUUAGUCCCGCGGACGUGUCUGAAAUUAUGAAGAUCCGUGCCUCUCCAAGACAAGAGGAUGAUGUUCUAGCAUGGGUUCCUGGUCGCUUUGGUCUUUUUUCAGUUAAAAGUGCUUAUGAUAUGGCUUUUGAGGAAGCUCACCGGGGCAAUGCUGUUUCAUCCAGUAGUAGUCCAAAUGGCAGUAGAUCUUUGUGGAAACUAAUAUGGUCAGCUGGUGUUCCCCCACAGUUCGGAACUUUGCAUGAGGCUCUUGUCGAACUCCUUACCAACCUGGCAAAAUAA
rnacentral:rRNA from 1 species